CCUACGGGAGGCAGCAGUGAGGAAUAUUGGUCAAUGGACGAGAGUCUGAACCAGCCAAGUAGCGUGAAGGAUGACUGCCCUAUGGGUUGUAAACUUCUUUUAUAUGGGAAUAAACUGUUCCACGUGUGGGAUUUUGUAUGUACCAUAUGAAUAAGGAUCGGCUAACUCCGUGCCAGCAGCCGCGGUAAUACGGAGGAUCCGAGCGUUAUCCGGAUUUAUUGGGUUUAAAGGGAGCGUAGGUGGAUUGUUAAGUCAGUUGUGAAAGUUUGCGGCUCAACCGUAAAAUUGCAGUUGAAACUGGCAGGCUUGAGUACAGUAGAGGUGGGCGGAAUUCGUGGUGUAGCGGUGAAAUGCUUAGAUAUCACGAAGAACUCCGAUUGCGAAGGCAGCUCACUGUACUGUAACUGACACUGAGGCUCGAAAGUGCGGGUAUCAAACAGGAUUAGAUACCCUUGUAGUC
rnacentral:rRNA from 1 species